UACGUAGGGUGCGAGCGUUAAUCGGAAUUACUGGGCGUAAAGCGCGCGCAGGCGGCUUCGCAAGUCAGACGUGAAAUCCCCGGGCUUAACCUGGGAAUGGCGUUUGAAACUACGGAGCUGGAGUGUGGCAGAGGGAGGUAGAAUUCCACGUGUAGCGGUGAAAUGCGUAGAUAUGUGGAGGAAUACCGAUGGCGAAGGCGGCUUCCUGGGCCGACACUGACGCUCAGGCGCGAAAGCGUGGGGAGCAAACAGG
rnacentral:rRNA from 1 species